UACGUAGGCAGCAAGCGUUGUUCGGAGUUACUGGGCGUAAAGGGUGUGUAGGCGGUUCUUUAAGUUUGGUGUGAAAUCUCCCGGCUCAACCGGGAGGGUGCGCCGAAUACUGAGGGACUAGAGUACGGGAGAGGAAAGUGGAAUUCCUGGUGUAGCGGUGAAAUGCGUAGAUAUCAGGAGGAACACCGGUGGUGUAGACGGCUUUCUGGACCGUAACUGACGCUGAAACACGAAAGCGUGGGUAGCAAACAGG
rnacentral:rRNA from 1 species